AAUGGGAUAUGGGUUGGGCACUACAAGUCCCAGCAGCCCCAGGGCUCUUAAAAGGAAGUAGUAAGGUUGUGUUUGUUCUUUUCACUUCCGGGUUUUUGAUUUUGGGGAAAGGUGGCGUGGAAUGUAGAGUGGCAUGUAGUGGUGUGACUGGAUUAUUGCCUGACUGUGGCCUGACCAUCUUGUCGAAAUAGUGGAUGUGAAAGGGAUGCAUGGUUACCGUUUACUUUAUGGUUAAAAUAUUGUUUUGUUUCGUUUCUUUAUUACCUUUUGUUUGUAAGUGUGGAGAUCCGGAGUGGUAGAGAUUGAGGUACUAGUGAAUGUGUUUGGUUGUUGAUUUUAUGUUUGUGUACCUUGUAUUGCCCACUGUUAAUUGUGUUUUGUUUAGACGGCGGUGGUUAUCGGGUUGCCCUCACAGUGUGGAUGACAGUGGUAAGGUGGCUGGGAUUGUGUGGUGGUUUGGUCACUGUAUUUCUGUGUCUUCUGUAGGUUUGCAGUGUGAUUGCUGUGAGCUUGGCUGCUGUGAGAACACUUUGGCUUCUAGGCCCUUCUUUCACUUUCUUAGGCAACCUGUGGCCACCUAGGGCCAGUUUUCUUUUAUUUCUUUUUCUUUAUUUUGUGGGCAUUUACAUCCAAAAGGGUAUGUGAUAUGUUUUAACAUGUUUGACUUGUCUGUAAUAAAAAUGUAUUUGAUUCUUUAAAGUCACCUCAUGGCCCCUUCUUUUGGUUAUUGACACAGUGAUUGGUCAUCAUACCACAAUUGGCGUAGUCGGCAGGAUCUGU